UUCAUUUCUGCUAUGCCACAACAGGAACUCCUGUUUUUGAUUUUUUAAAAUAUUUUCCCCUCCUCCUCUGUCCCACCCCUCUCUGCCUCUUCUGGGUUCUCCUAAUGCAUAUAAGGAUGUGUUUGGUGGUGUUCCCAUCCUUCAGGCUCUGUUCAUUUGUCCCUCCGAUGUUUUCUUUCUGCGCCUCAGAUGGGAUGGUUACACAGGCUCUAUUUUAAGCUGCCGAUUCUGUCCUCUGCGUGCUCAGAUCUGGCUCUGAUCCCUCAGCAAACGUGGUACUCUUCAAUCCAAUAUUUCCUUUUCAUCAUUUAUGUCCUUUUUAGUAAUGUUCUCCAUUUGUUCCUACAUCAGUCUUGUAGGUUUCUUUAGCUUUUUAAGCAUAUUGAAAACAACUGCUUUCAAGUAUUUGUCUAGUAAGUUGACUCUCUGGGCUUUGUCAGGGGCAAUUUCUCUCCAUUGCUUUGUGUGUGUGGGGAAAUGAGACAUACUCCCCCCACCCCUUUGCUUUCCUUGUCAUUUUUUGCUGUUUGAACACUGGAUGUUCUGUUAUAAAGUGGUAACUCUGAAAAUCAGAUUCUUCCCUUUUCCCAGAGUUUGUUGUUAUUGAUUGCUGAGAACUGAACAUUUUCUGUUUUGUUUGCUUUUCAGUGACUUUUUCCAAACUAUUUUGUAAGAACUACUCCUUGCCACAUGUCGUGACUGAACUCUCUGUUCUAUUAUCUCAGUGGACAGAGACUUGCAUGAUGCCCGGAGCCAAAAAGAAGAAAAAAACAUAAGCCUUCUCUCCGUCUUCGCAGAUGGGAUCUGACCUCGGGUGCUCCCGUGACGUUUGGUCAGGCCGCCUAGAGCUCUGCUUCGUCUCCUGUGUGUGCAGGGCCCAGUGGUCAGCUAGACUUGCAAGCCAGGGUCCUGGGAGGUCUUUCUCGCGUGUAUGCCUCUGGCGCUGGGCAUGUUCUUCGCAGUCCGAAUAGGCUGGGAUAAGCUAUAGUCCUUCAGAGCCCUUAGUCCACGCGGCAUCGUCCUCCUUCCCAGCCCUUUACUUCCUAUCACGAACAGUGCUGUUAAAAACAUCUGCCAAGACCCUGCCUAUUUUCCCCUUGGGAGCAAUUUCCCUGGAAUUUAUUCCCAGAUGGGGGAAUUCCAGGCCAAAGGAAAGCACAGCUGCCCAGCAGCUGUUAAGAGUUCCCGAUGGCUCUAGAAGGAUUGGCCUGACAGCAUCAUCCCCUGACACCUACAAUCUUUUUCCUUGUUUUUCUCUUCAGUCUGUUGGGGCAACCGUCUUAUUUUUUAAUGUUUCCCAUACCUAUCUGUUAUGAACUGCCUGAUAUGGGCCAAAGGCCUCUAUCUGCUGUUUCGUUACACAUCUCCUCAAAGAGACUAUUUUCAUUUUCUAAGGAAGGAACCAGCAAGGCCCCGCUGCGCGAGGUCGAGGCCAAACGUCGGACGCAGGGUCCCCGGCCGGGACAUCCCUGCCGUCCCCGUGAGCCCCGUGGCGCCCACACUGGGCGAUGACCUGUAUCAGGCAUGAAGAAACCUCUUCAGAUCCAAAGUAAAACCCAGAGGGAGGAGUCUUGGAUGAUGUGGCGGCGAUGGUGUGGUUUUUCCACUGCCCCACGUGCCUGCACAGGAACAGUUCCAUCAGGCUCACACACCGAAAUCUCACAGGCUGCAUCUACCACAAAACCAGAGGCAAGGAAACUCUCGAAGGUACAAGAAGUCAGGAGCGAGCAGUGCACCUAGGAGCCCUUCCCGAGGAAUCUAUAGGAACCUUUUCGGAGGAUUAAAAAUGGCCCGAAUCGUUUUCAAAUCCCUCCCACUAAGGCUUAUGUGAUCUUUCCUUGAAUGCGAGUGGCCCUGUGACUGACAGGACCAUCCGCUUUGACCAUUAGAAUAGCAAAGAUUGAUGAUAAUGUGCCGGUUUCUAGGCUCAGGCCAAAAGAACCUCGGAGCCUCCACUCCUGGGUCGGGAAGGCCGAUUGCCAAUAUCACACGUCAGACUAAGGAACGUGGGAAGGUAGCCACGUGGAACGGCUGCCUGGAGAGAGGUUGAGGCCCGACCAGAGGUUGCCGCCUCUUAGCCCAGGUACCAGACAGGCGAGCCAAGGUGAGCAGCAUCUGGGACAUUCCAGCCUCAGCCACCACCUGACUGUAACUGUGUGGGAGAGCCUAUAGGAGAGCCACCGACCUGAGCCCAGUCAAGCCAGAGACCGAUGACACGUGAAAAUGUGUUUUAUGCUGCUGUGUUCUGUGAAGGACUGGAACGUAGCAAUAGAUAUAACCUGAACUGCUUUACGACGGGAAGCGUGGUCCCAGGACCGGCAGGCGUCAGCUUCACCUGGGAGCAUUAGGAACUCAGAUUCUCCAGAAAAUGUUAAAUUUAAUUACUUUUAAAAAGAAAACAAAAAAUAAAAAAAGGAAAAGAG